GACGAACGCUGGCGGCGGGCCUAAUACAUGCAAGUUGAGCGAUGAAGAUUGGUGCUUGCACCAAUUUGAAGAGCAGCGAACGGGUGAGUAACGCGUGGGGAAUCUGCCUUUGAGCGGGGGACAACAUUUGGAAACGAAUGCUAAUACCGCAUAACAACUUUAAACAUAAGUUUUAAGUUUGAAAGAUGCAAUUGCAUCACUCAAAGAUGAUCCCGCGUUGUAUUAGCUAGUUGGUGAGGUAAAGGCUCACCAAGGCGAUGAUACAUAGCCGACCUGAGAGGGUGAUCGGCCACAUUGGGACUGGGACACGGCCCAAGCUCCUACGGGAGGCAGCAGUAGGGAAUCUUCGGCAAUGGACGAAAGUCUGACCGAGCAACGCCGCGUGAGUGAAGAAGGUUUUCGGAUCGUAAAACUCUGUUGGUAGAGAAGAACGUUGGUGAGAGUGGAAAGCUCAUCAAGUGACGGUAACUACCCAGAAAGGGACGGCUAACUACGUG
rnacentral:rRNA from 1 species